CUGCCGGCGACCGGCGCACGGGUGAGUAACACGUAUGGAACCUGCCCGCAGCAGGGGGUAAGCGGAAGAAAUUCCGUCUAAUACCGCGUAACAACGUUGGGAGGCAUCUCCCGAUGUUUAAAGAUUUAUCGGCUGCGGAUGGCCAUGCGGCGCAUUAGCUAGUCGGCGGGGUAACGGCCCACCGAGGCGACGAUGCGUAGGGGUUCUGAGAGGAAGGUCCCCCACACUGGUACUGAGACACGGACCAGACUCCUACGGGAGGCAGCAG
rnacentral:rRNA from 1 species